rnacentral:lncRNA from 1 species
AGGAUGCGAUUUCUGUUUGUUUUGAGACAGGGUCUCAUUACGCAGCUCUGGCUGGCUUGGAGCUCACUCUGUGCAUGUGAAUGUAUUCAAACUCAUAGAGACCCACCUGCUUCUGCAUCUGGAGUGCUGAAAUUAAUGACAUGUACCAACAUGCCUGGCUAAGAAGACAUCCUUUAAUCUCAAGGAGGAGCCACCCGGACAGCUACGUGGUGGAGAGAAAGCCUGGGGAUGCCACGCUGUGUGACUGGGUCCAGUCCCGUGGUCAGUCAAGGAGUUGGUUGCAGCCUUCGAGGCCUGCCUUCAGUGCAGCCUCCCAGUGAGGCCUGCCGCUUGUCUGGGCCUUAAGUCCCUCCCUGGCCUCCUCUUUGGUGAGGUUUCUGAGUCCCCCUAGACAUUGACCGUUUCUGCUUCUCAUGAGCAAAGACAUCUUGCAGGUACCUGCUGGAACCUGCCACAUCAGAUCCCACCUGCUUCUGUGUUCCCAGGUCUUCUGGGAAAGAUGAGGUAGAAUCUCUGAUGUUCCCAGUAAGGUAGAUAAGCUACCUUCCAGGGGGCAGCAUCUAUACGGCUGCCACUGUUGUGUGGUUCCAGGUAAAUGCCAAGAUCUUUGUGCCCCAGCUGACCGGUCAGCCCCAUUCACAAGGGCAAGCUUCCCUUAGGCAAGGAGAAACGAAGAUGAGUGGCAGAGAGGGGGAGGGGCCACUGAGCCAUCUCCAAGGCUCCUUCCAGGUCUGU